GGGUCAGUAGGUUGGUCGUGCCACCGGUACGUACUGGUCUCACUGAUUCCUCCUUCUGAAGAACCGUAAUGCCAUUAAUUUGGUGCUGCGGGGAAACAGGACUGUUACUUUGAAAAAAUUAGAGUGUUUAAAGCAAGCUAACGCUUGAAUACAUUAGCAUGGAAUAAUGAAAUUGGACGAUCGAUCCUAUUUUGUUGGUUUCUAGGAUUGACGUA
rnacentral:rRNA from 1 species